UUGUAAACAAAAGGGCCAUUGUGCAAAAGAUACUGCUGCUUUGAUGAAGAGUAGUAGUUCCCGCGGAGGUGUCGGUCAUGCCACUUCCUGUUGGUCCAAGUCCAAAAACUGGAUUAGUCCCUGUUGUGGUUGUGCCUGUUCCAGUGCCCAUUCCUGUGCCAGUCCCGGUGCUGGUGCUGGUGCCGGUGCCACCUGUUGAUGGAUUUGUGGUUCCUGUUGUUGGAGUUGUGCUUCCACCACUGUUAUUGACAACCAGAAACAAAAGGAUAUCAAGAAACAACAAAAAUAGGCAUUCCAACCAAUUAACCGAUAUAAAAUACUACCUCAAGUUCAUAUUUUCUUUAUUUUAAGAUUUUUGCACACCCUUUAAGAGUACUUGUCUACACUACCCUUUACUCUCUUUAAAUAUGUCAUUUAAUUAACACUCAGACUAAUUAAGCCCGUCAGGGAGUAGUUUUUAGAAAGAAUAAAAAGUACUAGUAGUAAUGAUUUCUUGUUUUUAAUAUUUUGAAAUACUAAUUAAAAAAAAAAGUAGUAGUGCUAGUUAGGCUUGCAAAACAACUAAUAUUUGGUACUCCAUAUAAGAAGUUACAGGAACCGAAUUUGAGAAGGCAAGUUGCAUGAUACAAUUUAAAUGAAGGACCUAACAUGAUUUAAAUAUGUUAAAUGAUGGUAGAUACACACCUGAAAUUUUCAUUAUAGCAAAAGAGAAAGGUACACCCUACUCAUUGAACAUUAAUAGACAGAUGAUAUCAACAUCGAGACAGCUCACAUGCGCAUAUAUUGAAAGAAACAAACACUCAACAAAUGAAGAUUUGAUAGUGACAGUACACUAACAAUGGCUAUUGGAAGAUUAUGGUGAAGUAGAAACAGUACCAGCAAUCUUAUAAUUACACAACAAUAUACCAUUGUGUCAUAAUCAAGUUACACUUUUGCAUUUAGGCAUGAAUAAUUGCAACCUUUUCUUAUUUAUAAACUUUUUCACACCCAAAGACACAGUUUUAACUUCCAUUACCAACCCCUUACCUUCAAAAACCUACAAUUUGUAAUUAACACAAAUUUGACAUCAUCAGGUCACCAAUUUUAUAUUUAAGAUUACAAAUCUUGCAACUUAAGGUGGUGUAUAUAACUCACACUAAUAAAAAAGAACCUUUUUCUUCCUUUUUUCAAGACUCAAGAGGAUGAGAAUGAGCUUUAAGUUGAAGCUAU
rnacentral:lncRNA from 1 species